rnacentral:rRNA from 1 species
UACGGAGGGAGCAAGCGUUGUUCGGAAUUACUGGGCGUAAAGGGCGCGUAGGCGGCAAUUCAAGUCAGCUGUGAAAGCUCCGGGCUUAACUCGGAACGGUCAGCUGAUACUGCUUUGCUAGAGUGCAGAAGGGGCAAUCGGAAUUCUUGGUGUAGCGGUGAAAUGCGUAGAUAUCAAGAGGAACACCUGAGGUGAAGACGGGUUGCUGGGCUGACACUGACGCUGAGGCGCGAAAGCUAGGGUAGCAAACGGG